rnacentral:rRNA from 1 species
GACGAACGCUGGCGGCGUGCUUAACACAUGCAAGUCGAACGGAAAGGCCCUGCUUUUGUGGGGUGCUCGAGUGGCGAACGGGUGAGUAACACGUGAGUAACCUGCCCUUGACUUUGGGAUAACUUCAGGAAACUGGGGCUAAUACCGGAUAGGAGCUCCUGCUGCAUGGUGGGGGUUGGAAAGUUUCGGCGGUAGGGGAUGGACUCGCGGCUUAUCAGCUUGUUGGUGGGGUAGUGGCUUACCAAGGCUUUGACGGGUAGCCGGCCUGAGAGGGUGACCGGCCACAUUGGGACUGGGAUACGGCCCAGACUCCUACGGGAGGCAGCAGUGGGGAAUAUUGCACAAUGGGCGGAAGCCUGAUGCAGCAACGCCGCGUGCGGGAUGACGGCCUUCGGGUUGUAAACCGCUUUCGCCUGUGACGAAGCGUGAGUGACGGUAAUGGGUAAAGAAGCACCGGCUAACUACGUG